CUAUCCUCCCCUCUGCUCAAUUCUUACCCUUUUCUCUCGCUCUCUCUCUCUCGCCCCCUAUUAUCACUUACAACAAUAUAUCACUCAAAUAACAAAUCCCUCUCUCCAAUUUACCCGCCAAAAAGGUCGCCCCCCGUGGAACGAUCGUACAUGGGAUUUGCUCCUUAGGAAAUGGAUUCUGCGGGUAAUGAUGAGUCUGUAGACGGUAUGAAUCCUCAAGCGGAGUGUGAGACUGCUGCGGUAGGCGAGAAGAGGCCGGUUGAGAACGGGGAGGCUGAAGAAUUAGGUGUUAGAUCAACCAAAAAGGCGAAUUGUGGGGCCGGAGAGAUGCAGAGAGUGGCGGAGAUAGUGUUGGUGUUGUCAACCAUGGCGGGGAUGAGAGGAGGGAAGAGUCCGACGGAAGCGGAGGUAAAUUUGAUGGCGGAGGCUAGGGCAAAAUUGGUAGAGAUUUGUCAGGAUUUGGCGCCAAAGGAUUUAGUAGCGAGGGAUGCAAUUGGGACAGUUAUUGAGGAUCUAGGGCUCAAUUGGAAGCUCAAAGAUCAACGAUUAGGGUUUCGGGGCACUAGGUUGUCUAUUAAAGAGAAGAUCUCUCUUUCAAAGAAGAAGAUGGAAGAAUCCAAGAAAUUUACUGCACCUUCUGGUACAUAUUCAUCUCAAAUGUCACAGCCAAAUUUUGGUGCAAUGGGUGAUAUUCGUGGGCCAUCCAAUUCUAUUCGCAUGUUUUCAUCAGAUAAACCAAGUAAUACAAGUAUACCUUCUGGAGGCCUUCCAACUUCAGCAACUCUAGGGCAUGUCUCAGCAGCAACUUCUACACCUGUAGCCAAUCAGUUGCUCCCCACUGAAGUGAGAGCUUCUACAGUAUCGACUGGGUUACCCAACAGUCACCCAGGAAGGGAUUCAUCUGCAUUAGCAGGUCCCAGAGUUGAAAAAUCUCACUUUAAAUCAGAGGGACCAAAUGGGACUUCUUAUGCACCGCAUAUACAAGCAAAUGCUUCUGCAAAUCAGCCACUGUUGAAUGCUACAACUUGGUCUUUACAAUCUCAUUCUAUGUCCUCAGCCAAAGCUACACCAGAAAGCAAUGUAUUAAAUCAUAACUCUGCUAAAGAUGAGGGAAAUACUGAUUUGGGUUUGUCACGGGCUGCUUCUCAAGCUGCAAGAGAUCAAGCAAUCCGACCUUUUAUUGCUGAAAAUACUCCUACAAAUUUGCAAGGUGUACAUCAACCUAUGCAAGGAAUGAAUUAUGUCCAAUCCUCAUCAUUUUUCAAUAACCACAAUGAAAUUGCUAAAAUUGUUCAGAAGCUAUUGCAACCAAAACGUCUGGAACGUAACACAUGGACUCCACCUUCAAGGGAAUAUAUGAAUAAGCCUUUGACUUGCCAGAUGUGCAAAGUUUCUGUCAAUGAGGUGGAAACUGUAGUCCUUUGUGAUGUUUGUGAGAAAGGAUUUCACUUAAAAUGUCUAGAAGCAGUGAAUCAGAAAGUAAUACCUGGAGGUGGUGAGUGGCACUGCUUGAGGUGCACAGCAUUAAGCAAUGGAAAGCCUUUGCCAGCUAAAUAUGGUCGUGUCAUGAGAAGCAUUACUCUACCAAAAGGACCUUCUAGUCCAGCUGGGGCUCAGCCAUCAUCAGAGAAGAAAAAUGGAAUAGUAGAUUAAAAGGUCAAUCCAGAGAAGUCAAUAGCAAAUGGAAGCUCUGCUUUACAAAGUUCUGCAGGAUUGGGAUUGGGUAUUGUGAUUAGAAACCAUGCUGAGCCAGCAUCUGAUUCAAAAGUACCCAAUGCAAGGGACAUGACAGGGAAUAGUUUCUCACCAAGUGUGAAAGAUGUGGAUUGGGCAACAUGUGCUGGAAAUUUACCAAAUAACUCAACACAGUCUAUGGGUGUUGUCUCCGAUUCUCCUUCUAUUUGCUUAUCAAGUGAAAGAUCCAUUCAACUAACUCAAGUAUCUGAAUCACAAAUACAGGAAGAGGGAUCUGUUUCUGAAUCGAAAUUGCAACCUCCCACUACAUUAUCUGAGACUAUUAGUAACAAUUUUGAAAAUUCCAAACCCUCUAACAACUUACAAGAUAUUGACCAAGCGGCAUCAUCAAACACUAGUGAAGUUCCUUUGAAGACUAGUCAGGGCCAUUCUGUGGUCGUAGGCUCAGAGAGUAUAAGCACACUUAGUGAAUGUACAACAAGAUGCAAUGUGAAGCAAAGCAAGCAAGAUGUCACCCAUGCAAAUCCUGUUGGAAGUUCUGAACCUAAUGAUGACAGUAGAAAACAUGCUGGGAUGUCUUCUGAUGGCAUCCACAGUGUUGAAUGGAUUGGGAAUGCAUUUAAAGUUGAGGAUGGAAAAACAUUCUAUGAGUCUUGUCUUGUUGAUGGAGUAACAUAUUAAGGGCACGAUCAUGCCCUUUUCCAUUCUAGCCAUGAGAAAUUGAUACCCUCUAAGUUUCAGGCAAUUUGGGAGGACAUUGAAACAGGAUCAAAGUGGGUUAUUGUGAAUAGAUGCUACUUUCCAGGUGACCUGCCUAAGGCUGUGGGCCACCCAUGUGCCCCUGAAAGCAAUGAGGUAUAUGAAUCUAAUCACCAGAGCAGUGUAAUGGCUGGCUUGAUUCAAGAUGGUUUUAUGAUGAAGCCAAAGGAAAUUUUGAACCUGUUUUUGGUUAGUCUUUCAUGCACAUGUUUUGGGAGAUGAUGAAGUCUUCUAAGUAAUGGCAUCUUUAUGGUGCUCCCUUUGAUCAGUUCCAGACAUUCUGACUGUCCGGACAGACAUUGAUCAUCAGAACAAUCGAAUGCAUGGACUAGCUAAAGUGAGGGUGUUACAAGGUUAGCUUUGGUGUUCACACAAUUAUAUCCUAAAAUGUUGAGAUAACACACAUUCUGUUUUUAGGUUCAGCCAUGAGUAACAGUCACGUUCUAUACUUUUGUAUGCAUGUCCAUGGAAUUACAUCACAAAAUGUUGAGAUGAGAUACAUUCUGUUUUUAAGUUGAACCACAAGUUGACUCUCAUUCUCAGCUACAUGUUUUUUCCCCCUUUUGCUGCCUUCACUAUAUUGCACUUUCUUUUGCUUUUUCACCUAGAAUCUCUCAAGAAUGAUUACUGAUUAUAUAUAUAUUCUGUUUGGUAAAAACAGGUAAUCUAUGUCAAAUGGGGCCUGCAGAAAAUUGACGAGUGAGUUUUAUACCAAGUCUUGGGCAAUAUUUAGCUUUAGUUUAACUUUGUAAUAUUUCCUCUAUUUUAUCAAAAUUUUUAGUGCAACAUGAGUUAUUUCCUUGUAAAUUGUAGAAUUAAUGUUCCAUUCUAUUGUUUCAAUCCCCCUUCCCCUCCUGUUAUGUAUUAGUUUUAGAUAAUUUGUUUUGUGUAACUAUGACACACCACAGUGGACACCAGUUGAGUUUUUCUAGGAUAUCAUAAAUAACAUGAGGAAUUUGAAGCGUUUAGUUCAUGUGAGGCGUUUUGUAUGUGCAGUGAUCACCAUGUGAAAUAUUGGACUUCAACAAGCAUGCAAUUACAACUCAUUCUAGUCAUUCUAAUCUUUCCUUUCCAGCUUUGAAACCUUGGGAAACAGGGUUUCACUUAGGUACUUGUGUUCAAAGGACAAAAAUAAUAUUUGUGCAUAUUUUAUGUGCUUG
rnacentral:misc_RNA from 1 species